rfam:Oryza glumipatula chromosome 3, whole genome shotgun sequence.
AAUAAGUAUAGUUUUAUACUAUUCACGUUCAACGUUUGACCGUUCGUUUUAUUUGAAAAUUUUUUAUGAUUAUUAUUUUUAUUGCUAUUAGAUGAUAAAACAUAAAUAAUACUUUAUGUGUGACUAAAUAUUUUUAAUUUUUUUACAAAUUUUUCAAAUAAAACGAACGGUGAAACUUUAGACACGGAUAUAAAGACGGAGGUAGU